UCCGGUCCCUGGAGUAGUAGUAACGGCGAACGUAAUUAGCGACCCCUCGUUGGUGAAAGGAGGGGCGUUGCCGUUACGAAGGCGUGUCAGGGACCAGCAGUUAAAUCGAAGUUUGAGUGGAAUGAUACAUUCAAUUAGAGUGGUACCGCGGGAAAUCUCGUCUCUAGU
rnacentral:misc_RNA from 1 species